UACAUCUGGUGCAAAUGCACUCGGAGCCUGGGGCCAGACCGGUGCUAACACUGCAAACUUUGUCCAGAGCUCUCUCCAAUCUGAAGGUUUGUUGGGGGCGCAAUGUCACCUUCAUAUGCUGAGCCCUUUCGAAAAAGUGCCAGAUCGUGUCACUGGUGCUAUUUUUCAUGCUCUGGUACAAUGUGUAGCACCACGGGGGUCUCAGCUUUACCAAAAUCAAAAUCCUAAGUGUCAGCUAAUUGCAGGGGCAUUCGGUUUUGGCUCUUCUCCCACAGGAUUUGUUGGCCAUUCAUUUGCAGGCCUCUUCUCCCAGCCCCAAAUCCUCGGGCAGGCUGUCUGCUUAGUGAGCCCUUCUUCACAAAGCCACACACUCAGGUGCCUCUGUGAGCUGUCUUAGAUUUUACCGCCAGCCCUUCAGGACUUCGAGCCAGGAAGGACCUCUCCACACCUCUGGCUCGUGACUCUUUUCUUUUCUCAUUCUCUUCCUCUGCUCUCCUCCUUCUUCUAUUUCUGGCUCAUUCCAUUUCUUUUUUGUUACUUUCCUUUUUCCCUUCCCACCAUCUCUGUUGACUUUCUUCUAUACUCCUCUGUGCAUCCCUCCUUCAGUCUCGGUCUUUUUAUUCCCUUUCCCCCUCCUUUCCCGUCCUUUCGCCACUCUGCACAUCUCUGAUCCUCUCCUCCCUGGCACCCCAUUCCUUUAUUUUUCUGUCCUAUAAAGGGCUCAUGGGCGAUUCAGACAGCAAGUCCACGCAUUGGACUAGUGACACAAGUACUUUGGGUCGCCGAUUCACCUACUCAGCCCAGAAGGCGAAGCUGAGUGAGGCCCUGACCUGGCGCCAGCUCCGGCCUACGUCCUGGAGCCAGCCUGCACCGCUGCCCGGCAGCGACGAUGCACGUGCUGUGGGCCCUGCCAGCGCCUAGGUGCCUCCGCCUGACCGCUGCUGCUAAGGGAGCCCACUCCCAACACCUUCCCGUGGCUCUGAGGACAUUUCCUUUUGAUAAAUGCAGACUCUGGCCCCAACAAUUACUCUGACAGCAAACCUCUUCCUGCUCAUUGAAGCCAUGCCAUCGCCUUGGUUUGGAGAGAGACAUUUUUUCCCCAUUCAUAAGGUUUCUUUUUCCCAUUUUCAUGUGAAGCCCCCUCUGCUUUUCAAGCUGGUGAUUGCUCUGGUGAGAUUGAAUGGACUCGCUGGUGAAAUGACAUCUCUUCUUUCCUGUCUUGGUCCUGCCUAAAUUCUUACAAAAUAUUUAAGCCAAGGACUCAGGCUAGCUCCUAAGUUUAUCAUAUUAAUUUGUCACUACUAGGGGGGAAAAAAAAAAAGGAUCAAUUCCCUUUAAGCAUAUGGAGUACCUCUUGUGCCAACUGAUUUGCCAGGGUACUCCCUACAGAAUUCUGUGGCUAUACAUUUUACUUAUGCGUAUGUAUGGUAUAUAUGGUAUGCAUAUCAUGUAUACACAUAUGACAUUAGGUAUGAAUGAAUGUGGUUGGAAACCCACACACACACUCCAGUCUGUAAAUAUCCUUCCUCACUGAAACCUGUGCUUCAGAAAUCAUUUCUUGUACAGCUGUGCAGUUUCUUGUAGCAGCUAAGGACAAAGCUAAGACAGAGGGACAAUUUAGACAAAGAUCAUCUAAAAGAGUAUAGUGUCUCCCUAGCAACUCAUGAGGACAGACAACCAAGUGGCAAGGUUGACUCCCAAUGGAAUGGCAAGCUUUUCUUCUCUCCUUUUUGAAUUUGUGUUUCCUAAGUGUGUCUUAACUUCUGAGUGCACCAGGCUAUACCCAUUAGAUCCUUUCAAUAUGACAAUUUUGUGCUUCUCUGACAGGAUGUUUCUCCAUGGAGCUGUAGUGCAGGAUGGGAGGGAGUGGGGGAAUAUUCCUUGCCUGGGCUGGAGUUUACAGAGACACUGCACAGCUUACACUCCUGUUAAGUGUAAAUAUUCAACACUUCCAUUCCAUUUGUGUAAAAAAUAAAGCACACACGAUUAUAAAAUUAAGAUGUAUAUUUCAUA